AGCUUUGCACACUGGCAGUAUCGUAGCCAAUGAGGUUUAUCCGAGGCACGAUUAUUGCUAAUUGAAAACUAACCCACUUGUUUCUUUCCUAAGUGUCUAGUAGUAUGACUCAUUAGAAAUUAUACUGUGAAUUCUAUCCUAGA